rnacentral:rRNA from 1 species
GGGUCAGUAGGUUGGUCGUGCCACCGGUACGUACUGGUCUCACUGAUUCCUCCUUCCUGAAGAACCGUAAUGCCAUUAAUUUGGUGUUGCGGGGAGACAGGACUGUUACUUUGAAAAAAUUAGAGUGUUUAAAGCAAGCUAACGCUUGAAUACAUUAGCAUGGGAUAAUGAAAUAGGACGAUCGAUCCUAUUUUGUUGGUUUCUAGGAUUGACGUA